rnacentral:rRNA from 1 species
UACAGAGGUCUCAAGCGUUGUUCGGAUUCAUUGGGCGUAAAGGGCGCGUAGGCUGCGGGGCAAGUCGAGUGUGAAAUCUCAGAGCUCAACUCUGAAACUGCACUCGAUACUGCUUUGCUUGAGGACUGGAGAGGAGAUUGGAAUUCACGGUGUAGCAGUGAAAUGCGUAGAUAUCGUGAGGAAGACCAGUGGCGAAGGCGGAUCUCUGGACAGUUCCUGACGCUGAGGCGCGAAGGCCAGGGGAGCAAACGGG